rnacentral:rRNA from 1 species
GAUGAACGCUAGCGACAGGCUUAACACAUGCAAGUCGAGGGGCAGCAUGAUUUGUAGCAAUACAGAUUGAUGGCGACCGGCGCACGGGUGAGUAACGCGUAUGCAACUUACCUAUCAGAGGGGGAUAGCCCGGCGAAAGUCGGAUUAAUACCCAAUGACGUCUCUAGAAGACAUCUGAAAGAGAUUAAAGAUUUAUCGGUGAUGGAUGGGGAUGCGUCUGAUUAGCUUGUUGGCGGGGUAACGGCCCACCAAGGCAACGAUCAGUAGGGGUUCUGAGAGGAAGGUCCCCCACAUUGGAACUGAGACACGGUCCAAACUCCUACGGGAGGCAGCAGUGAGGAAUAUUGGUCAAUGGACGAGAGUCUGAACCAGCCAAGUAGCGUGCAGGAUGACGGCCCUAUGGGUUGUAAAACUGCUUUUAUAAGGGAAUAAAGUGAGUCUCGUGAGACUUUUUGCAUGUACCUUAUGAAUAAGGACCGGCUAAUUCCGUG